rnacentral:rRNA from 1 species
UACGUAGGGGGCUAGCGUUAUCCGGAAUUACUGGGCGUAAAGCGCACGCAGGCGGCGGCGUCAGUCUGACGUGAAAUCUCCCGGCUUAACUGGGAGGGGUCGUUGGAAACUGGGGGACUUGAGUGCAGAAGAGGAGAGUGGAAUUCCACGUGUAGCGGUGAAAUGCGUAGAGAUGUGGAGGAACACCAGUGGCGAAGGCGACUCUCUGGUCUGUAACUGACGCUGAGGCGCGAAAGCGUGGGGGGCAAACAGG